rnacentral:rRNA from 1 species
AUCGAACGCUGGCGGCAGGCCUAACACAUGCAAGUCGCACGAGUGGCGGACGGGUGAGUAAUGUCUGGGAAACUGCCUGAUGGAGGGGGAUAACUACUGGAAACGGUAGCUAAUACCGCAUACGAUCAGAUGUGCCCAGAUGGGAUUAGCUAGUUGGUGGGGUAACGGCUAACCAAGGCGAAGAUCCCUAGCUGGUCUGAGAGGAUGACCAGCCACACGGGAACUGGGACACGGUCCAGACUCCUACGGUAGGCAGCAGUGGGGAAGAGUGCACAAUGGGCGCAAGCCUGGUGCAGCCAUGCCGCGUGUAUGAAGAAGGCCUUCGGGUUGGAAAGUACUUUCAGCGGGGAGGCGUUACCCGCAGAAGAAACACCGGCUAACUCCGUGCCAGCAGCCGCGGUAAUAC